rnacentral:rRNA from 1 species
GACGAAGGGGGCUAGCGUUGCUCGGAAUCACUGGGCGUAAAGGGUGCGUAGGCGGGUCUUUAAGUCAGGGGUGAAAUCCUGGAGCUCAACUCCAGAACUGCCUUUGAUACUGAGGAUCUUGAGUUCGGGAGAGGUGAGUGGAACUGCGAGUGUAGAGGUGAAAUUCGUAGAUAUUCGCAAGAACACCAGUGGCGAAGGCGGCUCACUGGCCCGAUACUGACGCUGAGGCACGAAAGCGUGGGAGCAAACAGG